UACGGAGGAUGCAAGCGUUAUCCGGAAUGAUUGGGCGUAAAGCGUCCGCAGGUGGCUAUGUAAGUCUGCUGUUAAAGCGCGGGGCUUAACUCCGUAUCGGCAGUGGAAACUACUAGACUAGAGUGUGGUAGGGGUAGAGGGAAUUCCCAGUGUAGCGGUGAAAUGCGUAGAUAUUGGGAAGAGCACCGGUGGCGAAGGCGCUCUACUGGGCCAUAACUGACACUGAUGGACGAAAGCUAGGGGAGCGAAAGGG
rnacentral:rRNA from 1 species